AUUGAACGCUGGCGGCAGGCCUAACACAUGCAAGUCGAGCGGAUGAAGGGAGCUUGCUCCUGGAUUCAGCGGCGGACGGGUGAGUAAUGCCUAGGAAUCUGCCUGGUAGUGGGGGAUAACGUCCGGAAACGGGCGCUAAUACCGCAUACGUCCUGAGGAGAAAGUGGGGGAUCUUCGGACCUCACGCUAUCAGAUGAGCCUAGGUCGGAUUAGCUAGUUGGUGGGGUAAAGGCCUACCAAGGCGACGAUCCGUAACUGGUCUGAGAGGAUGAUCAGUCACACUGGAACUGAGACACGGUCCAGACUCCUACGGGAGGCAGCAGUGGGGAAUCUUGGACAAUGGGGGCAACCCUGAUCCAGCCAUGCCGCGUGAGUGACGAAGGCCUUAGGGUUGUAAAACUCUUUCAGCGGGGACGAUAAUGACGGUACCCGCAGAAGAAGCCCCGGCUAACUCCGUGCCAGCAGCCGCAGUAAG
rnacentral:rRNA from 1 species